rnacentral:siRNA from 1 species
UAACAUUUUGAUUAUGGGUGUCA